rfam:Camelus ferus unplaced genomic scaffold scaffold880, whole genome shotgun sequence.
GGGGUUAUGGUUCAAGUGGUAGAGCCCAUGCUUAGCAUGCACGAGGUCCUGGGUUCAAUCCCCAGCACCUCCA